AGCGAACGCUGGCGGCAGGCCUAACACAUGCAAGUCGAACGAACCUUUCGGGGUUAGUGGCGGACGGGUAAGUAACACGUGGGAACGUGCCUUUAGGUUCGGAAUAACUCAGGGAAACUUGUGCUAAUACCGAAUGUGCCCUUCGGGGGAAAGAUUUAUCGCCUUUAGAGCGGCCCGCGUCUGAUUAGCUAGUUGGUUGAGGUAAUGGCUCACCAAGGCGACGAUCAGUAGCUGGUCUGAGAGGAUGAUCAGCCACAUUGGGACUGAGACACGGCCCAAACUCCUACGGGAGGCAGCAGUGGGGAAUCUUGCGCAAUGGGCGAAAGCCUGACGCAGCCAUGCCGCGUGAAUGAUGAAGGUCUUAGGAUUGUAAAAUUCUUUCACCGGGGACGAUAAUGACGGUACCCGGAGAAGAAGCCCCGGCUAACUUCGUG
rnacentral:rRNA from 1 species